rnacentral:rRNA from 1 species
UGGCGGACGGGUGAGUAACGCGUGGGUAACCUGCCUUAUACAGGGGGAUAACAGUUAGAAAUGACUGCUAAUACCGCAUAAGCGCACAGGAUUGCAUGAUCCGGUGUGAAAAACUCCGGUGGUAUAAGAUGGACCCGCGUCUGAUUAGCUUGUUGGUGAGGUAACGGCCCACCAAGGCGACGAUCAGUAGCCGACCUGAGAGGGUGACCGGCCACAUUGGGACUGAGACACGGCCCAAACUCCUACGGGAGGCAGCAUG